rnacentral:rRNA from 1 species
GCAGUCGAACGGCAGCACGGGGGCAACCCUGGUGGCGAGUGGCGAACGGGUGAGUAAUACAUCGGAACGUGUCCUGUAGUGGGGGAUAGCCCGGCGAAAGCCGGAUUAAUACCGCAUACGAUCUACGGAAGAAAGCGGGGGAUCCUUCGGGACCUCGCGCUAUAGGGGCGGCCGAUGGCAGAUUAGCUAGUUGGUGGGGUAAAGGCCUACCAAGGCGACGAUCUGUAGCUGGUCUGAGAGGACGACCAGCCACACUGGGACUGAGACACGGCCCAGACUCCUACGGGAGGCAGCAGUGGGGAAUUUUGGACAAUGGGGGAAACCCUGAUCCAGCAAUGCCGCGUGUGUGAAGAAGGCCUUCGGGUUGUAAAGCACUUUUGUCCGGAAAGAAAACCUUUGCACUAAUACUGUGGGGGGAUGACGGUACCGGAAGAAUAAGCACCGGCUAACUACGUGCCAGCAGCCGCGGUAAUACGUAGGGUGCGAGCGUUAAUCGGAAUUACUGGGCGUAAAGCGUGCGCAGGCGGUUCGUUAAGACAGAUGUGAAAUCCCCGGGCUUAACCUGGGAACUGCAUUUGUGACUGGCGAGCUAGAGUAUGGCAGAGGGGGGUAGAAUUCCACGUGUAGCAGUGAAAUGCGUAGAGAUGUGGAGGAAUACCGAUGGCGAAGGCAGCCCCCUGGGGCAAUACUGACGCUCAUG